GGUGAACGCUGGCGGUAGGCCUAACACAUGCAAGUCGAACGGCAGCACAGUAAGAGCUUGCUCUUACGGGUGGCGAGUGGCGGACGGGUGAGGAAUACAUCGGAAUCUACUUUUUCGUGGGGGAUAACGUAGGGAAACUUACGCUAAUACCGCAUACGACCUACGGGUGAAAGCAGGGGAUCUUCGGACCUUGCGCGAUUGAAUGAGCCGAUGUCGGAUUAGCUAGUUGGCGGGGUAAAGGCCCACCAAGGCGACGAUCCGUAGCUGGUCUGAGAGGAUGAUCAGCCACACUGGAACUGAGACACGGUCCAGACUCCUACGGGAGGCAUCAGUGGGGAAUAUUGGACAAUGGGCGCAAGCCUGAUCCAGCCAUACCGCGUGGGUGAAGAAGGCCUUCGGGUUGUAAAGCCCUUUUGUUGGGAAAGAAAAGCAGCAGGUUAAUACCCCGCUGUUCUGACGGUACCCAAAGAAUAAGCACCGGCUAACUUCGUG
rnacentral:rRNA from 1 species